rnacentral:rRNA from 1 species
UACGUAGGGUGCGAGCGUUGUCCGGAAUUAUUGGGCGUAAAGAGCUCGUAGGCGGUGUGUCGCGUCGGCCGUGAAAACCUGGGGCUCAACUCUGGGCGUGCGGUCGAUACGGGCAUCACUGGAGUUCGGCAGGGGAGACUGGAAUUCCUGGUGUAGCGGUGAAAUGCGCAGAUAUCAGGAGGAACACCGGUGGCGAAGGCGGGUCUCUGGGCCGAUACUGACGCUGAGGAGCAAAAGCGUGAAAAGCGAACAGG